UACGUAGGGGGCAAGCGUUGUCCGGAUUUAUUGGGCGUAAAGAGCUCGUAGGUGGUUCGGUAAGUCGGAUGUGAAAUCCCCAGGCUCAACCUGGGAACUGCAUCCGAUACUGGAUGGCUUGAAUUCGGGAGAGGGAUGCAGAAUUCCAGGUGUAGCGGUGAAAUGCGUAGAUAUCUGGAGGAAUACCGGUGGCGAAGGCGGCAUCCUGGACCGACAUUGACGCUGAGGAGCGAAAGCCAGGGGAGCAAACGGG
rnacentral:rRNA from 1 species